GCCGGGGUGGCGGAAUGGUAGACGCACAACUCUUAAAAAGUUGCGAUCGUAAUAGUCAUGCGGGUUCGAUCCCCGCCCCCGGCA
rnacentral:tRNA from 1 species